UACAGAGGUCUCAAGCGUUGUUCGGAUUCAUUGGGCGUAAAGGGUGCGUAGGUGGCGCGGUAAGUCGGGUGUGAAAACUCGAGGCUUAACCUCGAGAUGUCAUCGGAAACCAUUUGGCUAGAGUCCGGAAGAGGAAAGUGGAAUUCCUGGUGUAGCGGUGAAAUGCGCAGAUAUCAGGAAGAACACCAAUGGCGAAAGCAGCUUUCUGGGACGGUACUGACGCUGAGACGCGAAAGCGUGGGGAGCGAACAGG
rnacentral:rRNA from 1 species